rnacentral:rRNA from 1 species
GUGGGGAAUAUUGGACAAUGGGCGAAAGCCUGAUCCAGCCAUGCCGCGUGUGUGAAGAAGGUCUUCGGAUUGUAAAGCACUUUAAGUUGGGAGGAAGGGCAGUAAGUUAAUACCUUGCUGUUUUGACGUUACCAACAGAAUAAGCACCGGCUAACUUCGUGCCAGCAGCCGCGGUAAUACGAAGGGUGCAAGCGUUAAUCGGAAUUACUGGGCGUAAAGCGAGCGUCGGUGGUUCAGCAAGUUGAAGGUGAAAUCCCCGGGCUCAACCUGGGAACUGCCUCCAAAACUGCAUGACUAGAGUACGGUAGAGGGUAGUGGAAUUUCCUGUGUAGCGGUGAAAUGCGUAGAUAUAGGAAGGAACACCAGUGGCGAAGGCGACUACCUGGACUGAUACUGACACUGAGGUGCGAAAGCGUGGGGAGCAAACAGGAUUAGAUACCCUUGUAGUCC